GCCAGAAGCUGAAUAAUUUCCAUGUCCAUCCUCGCCAAAGCAUUUAUAUGUUCCAGCAUCACUCCAGGCGACAAUAGUAGUAUAAAUCUUCUCGUUAAUGAGCUGAGUAUCAUUAUGGAAUAUGGUAUAACCUAAUGGUUCAGGAACUGAACCACGAGAUUUACACGUUAUGGUAACUGAUCUACCAAAUAUAGCUGGGUUUUGUGUGAAUUCAAUGGAUGUGUCUUUUGGUUUAACUGUGAAGAAAUGAACUUUUUAAACAAACAUGAAUUUUUAACAUCUCACCUUACAAAACUGCAUGACAGUGUUAAGGGUAAUGCGCGGCAACUUCCGCCAGUUAUACAGGGUGUAUAAAAAAAAGGAGACCUUUAGAAAUCAAGCAUAUUGUUAAAAUUUUAAUGCCUUUUCAAUUGCACAUGUGCUGAACCG
rnacentral:lncRNA from 1 species